UACGGAGGGUGCGAGCGUUUGUCCGGAAUCAUUGGGCGUAAAGGGCGCGUAGGUGGCGGGACAAGCGUGCGGUGAAAGCCUGGGGCUCAACCCCGGGUCGGCCGUGCGAACUGUUUUGCUUGAGCACUGUAGAGGCAGGCGGAAUUCCGGGUGUAGCGGUGGAAUGCGUAGAGAUCCGGAAGAACACCGGUGGCGAAGGCGGCCUGGCUGGGCAGUAGCUGACACUGAGGCGCGACAGCGUGGGGAGCAAACAGG
rnacentral:rRNA from 1 species